AAUUUCUAAUUUUUGGAUGGGGUCCAUGGGUUUAGAGUCUAAACCCAUGGACCCCAUCCAAAAAUUAGAAAUUA